UGGGCAGACAGUAUCGGACAGUUGAAACCCGAAGGGUGUCUACGCUACAUAGUGCCCGACACAUAACCUGAGUAACUACAAUUUCUUAUAUGCAAACCUAUCAAUGUUCUUAGAACACAAAGUCAACUACAUUUACAGUCAAAACCUAGGUCUUCAUGUCUAUUUCACACCAAGCAAAGCAUAUACACUGCAUAUUUUUCAGCGCGAUAAAGUACUAAUUAAUCAAAUUAAUUAAUGCAGAAGUUAAAUAAUAUUAACAUGCAUAAUACAAAAAUUAGUACUAGAAAUUAGUAUCGAUAAAAUGAAAGUUCAGAAAGAAACCUUCAAUGGCAUCUCUUGGAGGCUUAAAACCAAGGCCAACAGAUUUCCAGAAUCGAUUACCACCCUUUCCAGGUCUCUUCCCCUUUCCAGAUUUCUUCGAGCUUAAAAACACUUUCUGUUGCUUCGAAAAAGCCUUCUCAGUCUACAAAUUCAAAUUCACAAAUUAAUUAGAUUGGAUAAUCGAAGAUUUAUGAAAACUAAAAAUAAUAAUAAGUUGAUUGAUGUGAAUGUAAACACGAACUUGUUCCGCCAUUGUUAGUUGCAGCAAGCAGCACUGUGUUGGUAACCCUAACCUGUGAAGACGAUGAUGCUACUUUUAUAACGAAGAACAGUUUUUUUUAGUUUUAAUUUUUUUUCUUCAUCGCUUGGGCUUUACAAUAUGGGCUAAGUGUUAUUCUUCCACCUUCUGUUUUCUAAUACACCCUCUCUAUUUAACAAAAGUAUCCAAUUAGCCUUUUAUAUAUAUGAAUUAGAGCUGUCAAAGGGGCCGGCCCGGAGGGGCCCGGUCAAAUAAAGGGGCUGGCCCAGCCCGCCCGUUAACUUCAUGGUCCGGUCCGCUUAGCCCAGCCCGAUAAGCAAAAGCCUACAUAGCCCGAUGGGCCGACCCACUAAUUUUCAUAGUAUUUUUUUUUUGAAAAAAAAAUAUUCUACUAAAUUUAUGUUAUAAUUCUCAACUAAAUCUUUAAGAAGGUAAUUCAUAUCCCUAUAUUUUCUCACAUAAUCUCUCAAACAACAAUUUCUUCCUCUUUAUCCUCAUCAAACAAACAAACAAAUCUCUAACAAAUACUCUCAUUCUAAUCCAAUAAGUUUUUUGUCAUAUUAUUAUUAUUAUUAUUAUUAUUAUUAUUAUUAUUACUACCCAAAUUUUUUUUUCAAGUUUUAUAUCUUUCAUUCAUCCAUUGUAAUUUAAGUAUAAAAAAAAACAAAAAUAUAGAAAGAAUAUAAAAUAAAUACAAUAAAAAGAUGAUAGCCUUAAAAUAACCAUAUUCCAAGUUUUAUAUCCUUCGUUGUAAUUACACAAAAAAAAUAAAAGAUGAUAUGCAUAAAAAUAGGAAUAAAACAAAUUAUAGAUAGGAACAAAACACAAAUAAUAACAAUAAAACAACAAAAAAAAUAAAAAAAAAUUAUAUAUGAAUUUAUGCAUAAAAAUAGGACCAAAAUAUAACAAUAAAAAGAUUAUAAAAAAAAUUUAAAUAUUUUUUUAAUUCUUUAAGGGGCCGGCCCAAAAGCCUGCGGGCCGGCCAUGACGGCCCAUGAAAAAGCCUGACCCGUUAAGGUCCGGCCUAGUUUUUAUGAAGCCUGGCACAUGUAAAAGGAUAGGGCUAAUGGGCCGGCCUGAUAGCCCCGGCCCUUUUUGACAGCUCUAAUAUGAAUUAAUCAAAUUAUAUAUGUAAAUUAUUGAUAUAUAGCAAAGCUGACCCAAACAAGGGCUUUGAACCCCCCCCAAAAAAAAAACCAAUUUUUUAACAAUGAAAAAAUGUAUAAGUGAUAAGUCCAAUAGUGAGUCCCCCACGAUCUACUUUGAUUUUAUCGGGCAGUGCCGCCCGCAUGAGGGACUCUCNNNNNNNNNNNNNNNNNUAUAAAGACCUCCCAUUAUGGUGAGAAAAAAAUGACACUUUGUAUUUUCACCGGAUUUUCUAUGAGAACUCCAUCGUUCAUCCUUAAUUUGCAGAUAUUUGUUUCUCCAUAUUUACAACUCAAAAUUCCAAUUUCUUCAUUCAUUGUUAUUGAUACAUUUAAUUCUAAAAAGGUAGAAAACAUCAAUGAUCAUCACGAACUACACCGUUAAAAUAUCUUUUAAAGAACCUCACAUUAGAUAAAAAAUAACCUAAAUAUAAGUUUAUAAAUGGCGAACCUUAUAUCUUCAUACUUUUUUUUUUUUAUAGAACUUUGAAAUCGGCUUAUAAGAUGAAAAUUUCACGUAUAAACAUAUCUUCAUGUCGACUCUUAACACCCUCUUAUGCCCAAACUAAGGAGGCUCUUGUACCGGUCAACCUUAUACUAAUUGUGGAUUCAACUUUAUAAAAACCAGAUUAUUAUAUUAUAAAAAUUAUCCUAAUUUAUAUAAACAUAUUUGCAGAUCUUCCUUCAUCACAUAUAAAACUCUUAACGAUAUCAAUUUCCAUGAUAAUUUCAGAACUCAGCAUCUAACAAUUUAAAUCUCAAAAAUCAUGGAUAGACUAGUUGUAGAAUUGUGGACCAUACCAUAUAUGAACAAAAUGGGAUAUAUAGACAGAAGAGAUGCAGAUUUGAAUCACCAACUAUACUUUAUAUUUAAUAAUAUUAAAUGGUACAAGAAAACUCUUAAACUUGAUAAAAAAAAAUGCAAAGUAACACAUCCAAAUUUGAUCAAGUAUGACUACAUCAUGAUCUUAGAAUAUUUGAAACUAAGAUAUAACUGUCUUCAACGCUAACUGAAAACUCAAAUUCCUGUAAACGCCUUCUUUGCACCACUAGCAGAUCCGGCUGGGAUCACUUUCAAUGCAUUGAAUCUAACUGUCUUUGAGAGUGGCCUAUGAACAUGGCAGAAGUAGAGGUAAUCAGGGGGCUAAAAUACACAACAAAUAAUUUCUUACUUGAAUAAACCAACAAAAAAAAAGCUGUAUUAUUCUAUAAAUAUCUGACCUGCAUUGACCAAUAAUAACAUGAUCUCCUUCCUUCACUCGGAAACAAGGUGAUAUGUGUGCAGGAAUAUUAGAAUGACGCUUCUCAUAUCUAAUAAGAACGAGUUAAAACCCAAAUAGUUACACAUUUGUAGCACAAAAUACAAUAAAAUCGAGCCCAAUGGUAAGAAAGGGGAAUGAAUACCUCUGAUACUUCUUAACGAAAUGAAGAUAAUCCCUUUUAACAAUAAUGGUCCUAUUCAUCUUAGCACUGUGACAAGUACCGGCUAGAAUACGACCNNNNNNNNNNNNNNNNNNNNNNNNNNNNNNNNNNCACUUCUUGUCAAUAUAGGUUCCUGGAUGAAAACAAGAAAAAAAUAGCCUUCAGUUACAAACCCAAGUGACCUUUGUAUAAAUAAAUUGAAAAUAAAAAUAAAAGUACUUGAUGCGGUAUAGCAUAAUAUAGCUCUAUAUGUACAGGAGAUUAUAAAUUUAUUUAUUCAAAGAACAAUGUAAGAAAGAGUUUAAUUAGAGAUAACAAAGGAUCAUCAUCUAGUUGCACACAAUAAUUUGGAUUUUAAAGGAAUUCCGUUGAACUAUCUUAUUCAGUUGGCUAGACUUCUAUUUCCCAACACUUGCAUGAACUAUGAAACGCACGGACAGAGACACAUCAAGCCAAUAAUAAUUUGAAAGAAUGUCAUAAUUCAAUGUAAUGUUGGUGUCACAGGUCAAUUGGAUUGAUCCCUAUCCAUACCAGUCUUUCGACCUAAAUGAAACCCGGUCUCUUUGAUGUGUAGUUCCCAUGGCCACUGAUCCAUAAGAACCACAUCUGUCUCAAGCUCAAGCUGACCCAUCCUGGAGAAAACUACUGAAUCGGCUCUUGGAAUAGGAAUUCAGCCAAACUUUCCCAUUUGAAAGCAAAAUUCACGGUAAACUGAAACUGUAUCGAUUUCAAUGUCCCUCUAUAGGCUAAAAUGGACUUAAAAUACAGGGUUUUAACAAGUUGAUGGAUUUUAUGGGCAGACAGUAUCGGACAGUUGAAACCCGAAGGGUGUCUACGCUACAUAGCCCCCGACACAUAACCUGAGUAACUACAAUUUCUUAUAUGCAAAGCUAUCAAUGUUCUUAGACAGACCAAUCUAUCUAUUGUUCUUAGAACACAAUGUCAACUACAUUUACAGUCAAAACCUAGGUCUUCAUGUCUAUUUCACACCAAGCAAAGCAUAUACACUACAUAUUUUUCGGCGCGAUAAAGCACUAAUUAAUCAAAUUAAUUAAUGCAGAAGUUAAAUAAUAUUAACAUGCAUAAUACAAAAAUCAGUACUAGAAAUUAGUAUUGAUAAAAUGAAAGUUCAGAAAGAAACCUUCAAUAGCAUCUCUUGGAGGCUUAAAACCAAGGCCAACAGAUUUCCAGAAUCGAUUACCACCCUUUCCAGGUCUCUUCCCCUUUCCAGAUUUCUUCGAGCUUAAAAACACUUUCUGUUGCUUCGAAAAAGCCUUCUCA
rnacentral:lncRNA from 1 species